rnacentral:rRNA from 1 species
CCUACGGGAGGCUGCAGUCGAGAAUCAUUCACAAUGGGGGAAACCCUGAUGGUGCGACGCCGCGUGGGGGAAUGAAGGUCUUCGGAUUGUAAACCCCUGUCAUGUGGGAGCAAAUUAAAAAGAUAGUACCACAAGAGGAAGAGACGGCUAACUCUGUGCCAGCAGCCGCGGUAAUACAGAGGUCUCAAGCGUUGUUCGGAAUCACUGGGCGUAAAGCGUGCGUAGGCUGUUUCGUAAGUCGUGUGUGAAAGGCGCGGGCUCAACCCGCGGACGGCACAUGAUACUGUGCGACUAGAGUGAUGGAGGGGGAACCGGAAUGCUCGGUGUAGCAAUGAAAUGCGUAGAGAUCGAGAGGAACACUCGUGGCGAAGGCGGGUUCCUGGACAUUAACUGACGCUGAGGCACGAAGGCCAGGGGAGCGAAAGGGAUUAGAUACCCCUGUAGUC